CGGGGCGUAGCGCAGCCUGGUAGCGCACCUGCCUUGGGCGCAGGACCGCGAGUUCAAAUCCCGCCGCCCCGACCA
rnacentral:tRNA from 1 species